CUUUGCCAUCAAUCUCUUUUUCAUUAUCUUUGACCUCAUAUUGUAUUGCUACAUCUCAGAAGCUAAAAAGGGUUAGACUAGGUCAGUACUUAGAUGAGAGACCUUCAAAGAACACCUAAAUGUGGAAGAAA
rnacentral:rRNA from 1 species